GAUCCUGGCUCAGGAUGAACGCUAGCUACAGGCUUAACACAUGCAAGUCGAGGGGCAUCAGUUUGGUUUGCUUGCAAACCAAAGCUGGCGACCGGCGCACGGGUGAGUAACACGUAUCCAACCUACCUCAUACUCGGGGAUAGCCUUUCGAAAGAAAGAUUAAUAUCCGAUAGCAUAUAUUUCCCGCAUGGGUUUUAUAUUAAAGAAAUUCGGUAUGAGAUGGGGAUGCGUUCCAUUAGUUUGUUGGGGGGUAACCG
rnacentral:rRNA from 1 species